rnacentral:rRNA from 1 species
GACGAACGCUGGCGGCGUGCUUAACACAUGCAAGUCGAACGGAAAGGCCCUGCUUUUGUGGGGUGCUCGAGUGGCGAACGGGUGAGUAACACGUGAGUAACCUGCCCUUGACUUGGGGAUAACUUCAGGAAACUGGGGCUAAUACCGGAUAGGAGCUCCUGCUGCAUGGUGGGGGUUGGAAAGUUUCGGCGGUUGGGGAUGGACUCGCGGCUUAUCAGCUUGUGGGUGGGGUAGUGGCUGACCAAGGCUGUGACGGGUAGCCGGCCUGAGAGGGUGACCGGCCACAUUGGGACUGAGGUACGGCCCAGACUCCUACGGGAGUCAGCAGUGGGAGAUAUUGCACAAUGGGCGGAAGCCUGAUGCAGCACCGCCGCGUGCGGGAUGACGGCCUUCGGGUUGGAAACCGCUUUCGCCUGUGACGAAGCGUGAGUGACGGUAAUGGGUAAAGAAGCACCGGCUAACUACGUG